rnacentral:rRNA from 1 species
GAUGAGCGCUGGCGGCGUGCCUAAUACAUGCAAGUCGAGCGAAUGGAUUAAGAGCUUGCUCUUAUGAAGUUAGCGGCGGACGGGUGAGUAACACGUGGGUAACCUGCCCAUAAGACUAGGAUAACUCCGGGAAACCGGGGCUAAUACCGGAUAACAUUUUGAACCGCAUGGUUCGAAAUUGAAAGGCGGCUUCGGCUGUCACUUAUGGAUGGACCCGCGUCGCAUUAGCUAGUUGGUGAGGUAACGGCUCACCAAGGCAACGAUGCGUAGCCGACCUGAGAGGGUGAUCGGCCACACUGGGACUGAGACACGGCCCAGACUCCUACGGGAGGCAGCAGUAGGAAAUCUUCCGCAAUGGACGAAAGUCUGACGGAGCAACGCCGCGUGAGUGAUGAAGGCUUUCGGGUCGUAAAACUCUGUUGUUAGGGAAGAACAAGUGCUAGUUGAAUAAGCUGGCACCUUGACGGUACCUAACCAGAAAGCCACGGCUAACUACGUGCCAGCCGCCGCAGUAA